CCCGUUUUUUGGAGACUCGCUUUAGAGACCGGAGAAUAAAGCCACUGCGGGGUAGGGGCGGCAGUGGAAAGCGAGGCUUUUAAACGACACACGCUCAGUGCGUGACGAUAUUCGCGGUCGCAGAGAGCGACCGUUNCUGAUAGCGAUUGAAUGUGGAAAGCUAAGCGACCUCGUCAGUCCAGACCUUGAAGCUAACGAGCGCAUUCGGCCCGAAGGUCUGCGUGAUCGGAACGUCGGACGCGUCGCGCCCCUGCGCUAUCAAGACACGGCCGAUCCGCGGCACGUUGUU
rnacentral:misc_RNA from 1 species